ACUGAGGUUGAAUCCGAAUAAGUGCACUAUCAGAGUGCGGUCCGGUAAGUGGUUGGGGCUUAUUGUGAGCGGAUAAGAGGAAUCGAGGUUGAUCCUGCUAAAAAAAAUAUAUAAAAAAAAGUAAUGCAAGAAAUGCCUGAAUCGAAGACAAAAAGAGAGAUCAAACGAUCAGGUGGAUAAUGAUUGCCCAGGGGCAUUGGGAAAUAAAAGAAUAAGUUGCAGGAGCCUCCGAU
rnacentral:lncRNA from 1 species